UUUAGUGGUUUUAGCAGAGUCACCUGUUCCCAUUCCGAACACAGAAGUUAAGCCCUCUAGCGCCGAUGGUACUGCUAACGCGGAGAGUAGGUCGCCGCCAGUU
rnacentral:rRNA from 1 species